rnacentral:rRNA from 1 species
UACGAAGGGGGCAAGCGUUGUUCGGAAUCAUUGGGCGUAAAGCGCGUGUAGGCUGUCUAUUAAGUCGGGUGUGAAAUCCCUGGGCUCAACCGAGGAAGUGCAUUCGAAACUAAUAGACUAGAAGGUGGUAGAGGAUGGUGGAAUUCCAGGUGUAGAGGUGAAAUUCGUAGAUAUCUGGAGGAAUACCGGUGGCGAAGGCGGCCAUCUGGGCCACUCUUGACGCUGAGACGCGAAAGCGUGGGUGGCAAACAGG